rnacentral:hammerhead_ribozyme from 1 species
ACUGCUGACGAGUCCCAAAUAGGACGAAAUGCACAUCCUGGAU